GUGAGGAAUAUUGGUCAAUGGGCGAGAGCCUGAACCAGCCAAGUAGCGUGAAGGAUGACUGCCCUAUGGGUUGUAAACUUCUUUUAUAAGGGAAUAAAGUGAGGGACGUGUCCCUUUUUGUAUGUACCUUAUGAAUAAGGAUCGGCUAACUCCGUGCCAGCAGCCGCGGUAAUACGGAGGAUCCAAGCGUUAUCCGGAUUUAUUGGGUUUAAAGGGAGCGUAGGUUGACAUAUAAGUCAGCUGUGAAAGUUUACGGCUCAACCGUGAAAUUGCAGUUGAUACUGUAUGUCUUGAGUGUACAAGAGGUGGGCGGAAUUCGUGGUGUAGCGGUGAAAUGCUUAGAUAUCACGAAGAACUCCAAUUGCGAAGGCAGCUCACUGGGGUACAACUGACACUGAGGCUCGAAAGUGUGGGUAUCAAACAGGAUUAGAAACCCCGGUAGUCC
rnacentral:rRNA from 1 species